CAUUUAUUUAUAGAAAGACCUCUCUUGACUGAUGCUGGAAGUUACGGAGGUGCUAUAAUAAAGAUAAUGCAAGAAUAGUGAAUACAAUGAAGAAAAUCUUGUCAUUCCUACUUGAGAGUGAGCAGGUGAAA
rnacentral:lncRNA from 1 species